GAUGAACGCUGGCGGCGUGCCUAAUACAUGCAAGUCGAGCGAACAGACGAGGAGCUUGCUCCUCUGACGUUAGCGGCGGACGGGUGAGUAACACGUGUAUAACCUACCUAUAAUACUGGGAAAACUUCGGGAAACCGGCGCUAAUACCGGAUGAUAUAUUGAACCGCAUUGGGCGAUAGUGUAAGACGGCUUUGCGGGCACGUAUAGAUGGAUCCGCGCUGCAUUAGCUAGUUGUGAAGGUAACGGGUUACCAAGGCGACGAUGCGUAACCGACCUGAGAGAGUGAUCGGCCACACUGGAACUGAGACGCGGUCCAGACUCCUACGGGAGGCAGCAGUAGGGAAUCUUCCGCAAUGGGCGAAAGCCUGACGGAGCAACGCCGCGUGAGUGAUGACGGUCUUCGGUUCGUAAAACUCUGUUAUUAGGGAAGAACAAAUGUGUAAGUAACUAUGCACGUCUUGACGGUACCUAAUCAGAAAGCCACGGCUAACUACGUG
rnacentral:rRNA from 1 species